CUGAAUGUCAACAUUAAAGAUGAAGAAGAGGAGGAGAAGGUUGGGAAAUCUGUUUCUCAUGGAGACCAUGUUGAGACAUUCUCUACAUCCAGAGAGCAACAGCAGGAAGAUCACAGAGUGAAGAGGUCUCACCACUGCCCACAUUGUGAGGAGAUUUUCCCAUUUCUAUCAAAGCUAAAAACACACCUACAAAUACACACUGGAGAGAAUCCCUAUUCCUGUACUGACUGUGGGAAGAGAUUCACAACACCAGGAGCUUUGGCAGUUCAUCAGAGAGUGCACACUGGAGGGAAGCCUUACUCCUGCUCUGACUGUGUAAAAUGCUUCACAACAUCAGGUCAUCUAGAAGUUCAUCAGAGAACACACACAGGAGAGAAGCCUUAUUCCUGCUCUGACUGUGGAAAGAGUUUCUCUCUACUGGGCAACUUAAAAACACAUGAACGUAGACAUAUUGGUGUGAAGCCUUACUCCUGCUCUGACUGUGUAAAAUGCUUCACAACAUCAGCUGAGCUAAAAGAUCAUCAGAGGACCCACACAGGAGAGAAGCCUUUCUUCUGCUCUGACUGUGGAACUAGUUUCUCUCAACUUUCCCACUUAAAAACACAUGAACGUAUACAUACAGGAUUGAAGCCGUACUCUUGCUCUGACUGUGGAAAGAGUUUCUCUCAAAUGGGCCACUUAAAAAGACAUGAACAUAGACAUAUUGGAGUAAAGCCUUACUGCUGCUCUGACUGUGUAAAAUGCUUCACAACAUCAGCUGAGCUAAAAGUUCAUCAGAGAACACACACAGGAGAGAAGCCUUACUCCUGCUCUGACUGUGGAAAGAGUUUCUCUCGACUGAGCCACUUAAAAAGACAUGAACGUAGACAUAUUGGAGUAAAGCCUUACUGCUGCUCUGACUGUGUAAAAUGCUUCACAACAUCAGCUGAGCUAAAAGUU